GACGAACCGUGCGAACGUUGUUCGGAUUCACUGGGCUUAAAGGGCGCGUAGGCGGGCGGUCAAGUCAGGGGUGAAAUCUUUCGGCCUAACCGGAAAAGGGCCUCUGAUACUGGCCGUCUCGAGGGAGGUAGGGGCAUGCGGAACUUCCGGUGGAGCGGUGAAAUGCGUAGAUAUUGGGAAGAACACCGGUGGCGAAGGCGGCUCACUGGCUCAUUACUGACGCUCAGGCGCGACAGCGUGGGGAUCAAACAGG
rnacentral:rRNA from 1 species